UAUUCCUUCACCAUGUUCUUCAUCUUCCCCCAAAAUUCACAGUGAAACCCUACGAUUCUGAAUUGAUAUGGAACACGAAUCGCUUCAGAUCACUUGGUAAUGUUGGGGAAACUCCACAAUACAAUGCCAUCAUUGCGAGAUUGCUGAUGAACUAUGUCAUCUAUGUGGUUAAAUCAUGUUAGGUAAAUGUUCUUUAGAAUUACUAUAACUUUGGUUGUAAACGAACACGAACGAACACGAAUGGAAGCUUGUUCGUGUGUCGUUCGUUUAACUUAAUCGAACAAACGAAUAAACUUGAAUGGUAAACGAACAGGAUCUUUUGUAUUCUUGUUCGUUCGUUAAGAAAAUGUGUUUGUUCA